rnacentral:rRNA from 1 species
AGAGUUUGAUCCUGGCUCAGAACGAACGCUGGCGGCAGGCCUCAAACAUGCAAGUCUAGGGGGUGUAGCAAUACAUCACCGGCGGACGGGUGCGUAACGCGUGGGAAUAUACCUUUUGGUUCGGAACAACUGAGGGAAACUUCAGCUAAUACCGAAUGUGCCCUAACGGGGAAAGAUUUAUCGCCAAAGGAUUAGCCCGCGUAGGAUUAGCUAGUUGGUGAGGUAAUGGCUCACCAAGGCUCCGAUCCUUAGCUGUUCUGAGAGGAAGAUCAGCCACACUGGGACUGAGACACGGCCCAGACUCCUACGGGAGGCACCAGUUGGGAAUCUUGGACAAUGGGGGAAACCCUGAUCCAGCCAUGCCGCGUGAGUGAUGAAGGCCUUCGGGUUG